UCCUACGGGAGGCAGCAGUGGGGAAUUUUGGACAAUGGGCGAAAGCCUGAUCCAGCAAUGCCGCGUGUGUGAAGAAGGCCUUCGGGUUGUAAAGCACUUUUGUCCGGAAAGAAAUCCUUGGCUCUAAUACAGUCGGGGGAUGACGGUACCGGAAGAAUAAGCACCGGCUAACUACGUGCCAGCAGCCGCGGUAAUACGUAGGGUGCAAGCGUUAAUCGGAAUUACUGGGCGUAAAGCGUGCGCAGGCGGUCUGUUAAGACAGAUGUGAAAUCCCCGGGCUCAACCUGGGAACUGCAUUUGUGACUGGCAGGCUAGAGUAUGGCAGAGGGGGGUAGAAUUCCACGUGUAGCAGUGAAAUGCGUAGAGAUGUGGAGGAAUACCGAUGGCGAAGGCAGCCCCCUGGGCCAAUACUGACGCUCAUGCACGAAAGCGUGGGGAGCAAACAGGAUUAGAUACCCUGGUAGUCCACGCCCUAAACGAUGUCAACUAGUUGUUGGGGAUUCAUUUCCUUAGUAACGUAGCUAACGCGUGAAGUUGACCGCCUGGGGAGUACGGUCGCAAGAUUAAAACUCAAAGGAAUUGACGGGGACCCGCACAAGCGGUGGAUGAUGUGGAUUAAUUCGAUGCAACGCGAAAAACCUUACCUACCCUUGACAUGGUCGGAAUCCUGAAGAGAUUCGGGAGUGCUCGAAAGAGAACCGGCGCACAGGUGCUGCAUGGCUGUCGUCAGCUCGUGUCGUGAGAUGUUGGGUUAAGUCCCGCAACGAGCGCAACCCUUGUCCUUAGUUGCUACACAAGAGCACUCUAAGGAGACUGCCGGUGACAAACCGGAGGAAGGUGGGGAUGACGUCAAGUCCUCAUGGCCCUUAUGGGUAGGGCUUCACACGUCAUACAAUGGUCGGAACAGAGGGUUGCCAACCCGCGAGGGGGAGCUAAUCCCAGAAAACCGAUCGUAGUCCGGAUUGCACUCUGCAACUCGAGUGCAUGAAGCUGGAAUCGCUAGUAAUCGCGGAUCAGCAUGCCGCG
rnacentral:rRNA from 1 species